UCUUUGUUAGUAUAUCGGUUAGUACACGCGCCUGUCACCUGCGAAGUGAAUGUGGCCGCACGAAAGCUGGGUUCGACUCCCAGACAGAGAG